CGGAGCCGGCUCCCUCAGCUUGCAAGGCGGUGUGGAGGGAGAGGCGCAGGCGGGAACCAGGGCUGCGCGCGGCGCUUCCGGGCCAGCGUGAGUUCCGGGUGGGCGUGGACUCGGCGGGCCCGGCACUCAGAGCGGCCUGCUGGCCCCGCCUGCCCUGGGCAGUGAAGGGCUUAGCACCUGGUCCAGCAGCUGCUGUGCUCGAGUUCUCGCGGGGCCUUAGCUGCCUCCCCGCGGGGCAGGGCUUGGGACCUGCAGCCCGCCAUGCCUGAGCUUCCCCCCGCCCCCGCCGUGGGCUCCUGUGCGGCCCGAGCCUCCCCGACGAGCGCCGCCCCCUGCUCCACGAUGCCCAGUCCCAUCGACCACCCAAGGGCUGAGGAGUGCGGGCUCACGGUUACAGGAUUCCCAUUUCAGAACUACGACCAUUUGAAAAAUAGAAGAUUUAAAGAUUGACGCAAAGUGCAUGUACCAUGAUACACCAGGUCUCAUCUCCUGAAUAUUUGUCCUGCCCUGAGUUUUCACCUGAGGCCACCUGUACAACUGACUAGAGUAGUUCCACUGAUUGCUAAAAUGGAACAGGCAGGAUUGGUAUUGACUGUCCAAGAGCAAAGUCAGAUACAGAAUUCCCACCUUUGAGUUGUUCCUGUGUUGCAAUAUUAUCAUAAGGCUCAAGCUACCAGAGACACCCACUGUCACACUGGAGCCUGCUUCUGACCAAAACAUCCUCUGUCAAGCUAUAGACUGCUUCUGACCUCAGGUUUGCCAUUCUGAGCACAUAACAAAAAUAAAACAAGAAAAAGCAUAAGGUAUGAAAUGUUAUUCAAAAAAAGAAUGAUGAAACAAUGAACUAAAGCCUGGGCAGUAAAUAAUUCUGUCUUCAAGAUCCCACAUGGAAAAUUUUUUAGAAAGACUUCCUACCUUUCCUACUGUUUGUAAUGUGCAUCUGGAAUACUAGAGAAAGGGUCCCUAAGGUUUGCUGGAAAAAUACCUUAGCUUCUGAGUCUUAGCUUUAUUACUAAUAAACACUGGAUUUCUGGUAGUAGAGAAGGAAAUUUAGUAUUUCAUGAUGGUGAAAGAUGAAAAGAGAGGCUUUAUGGCUGUAUGAUUUGGGUAGAGCUUUUCAGUUAAUUAACGAAGAAAUAUCUGAAUUGAGUCAAUGAGGUACAGAGUUUAUUUCAUACAGAUACUUUUAAACUUCAUAAUGCCAUGACAUACCUGAUUUGUUACUAAUGUCCACAACUUAUCCACGUGUUUAUGGCAAAAAAAAAGUGCACGAAGAAGAAAAUUAUAGUUUCAAAAAUUUCUAGAAUUUGGUUUCUGGAAGAAAAUACAAGUGUCUGUGUGUUUGUGUACAUAUAUUCUAGAUAGAUGAGCCAGUAAGAUAGAGUGAGCAUUAUUUUUUCUUAUCCAAAGAAAAAUAAAAGCAAUGCACAGGUAGAAGACCUGGUAAAUUUUGUAUCAUCAUAACCACCUAAAAGUUUCGUGUGGGAAGGUAAGUCAUAACUCCAAAUAUUUUUUUCUACUUAAAAAUUAAAAUUUGUACAAGAAUAUUUGAUCCAGAAGAAAGAAAUAUAUACAUAAGGAAUUACUAGAAUUUGAAUGCAGAGCAUUUCAAACUAUCUUUAAUCCAAUGAUAUAGUUCUUAUAAAUUAAAAGUCAACAUGGCAAAUUACAAAUGUAAUAUUUAAGUGUGUCCUCAAGAAACUUAAAUAUAAAUAUUGCAAUAAUUUCUGUUAAAUUUAGUUUUAAUUCUCUUUAGUAAUGUAAAAUUCAUACCUUUAUUUUCAAAUAUAACCAUUGAGAUAAGAUCCAUUUGUCCUGGUGGAAAGUAGAAACAAAAGUGCUUUGCCUGGCAGCAAAAGAUACAAAACUUUAUCUGCCAAAACAUUCUGAGCUAAUGCAGAACAAAGGUUUGCUGCUGGGGAGUAGGGGUUGCUGAGAAAGCCUAGUUUUAAAUCCCAGGUGCAGAGUUUUAGUGGUCCAAACAGUAGAAUUGGAUCCCCACCACCACCACUCAGCAGCCUAACCCAGAGAAAGAAGCAAGAGAAGCUUGCUGCUGGGGAAGGAUCAAGAGUAAAGAUAAGAUCCCUACUUUUGCACCAAGUGUCCAGGGACUGAACAAAAUUAGGGACAAAGCAGGAACUCAGAAGAAAGAUCUAAGCAUCACUCUAAGCCCAAGGCAAGAGCAGCCCAUCUUUAAUUAAAACCACACUGGGGGCUGGGCGCAGUGGCUCAUGCCUGUAAUCCCAGCACUUUGGGAGGCCGAGGCAGGUGGAUCACAAGGUCAGGAGAUGGAGACCAUCCUGGCUAACACGGUGAAACCCUGUCUCUAAUAAAAAAUACAAAAAAAAUUAGCCAGGCGUGGUGGUGGGCACCUGUAGUCCCAGCUACUCAGGAGGCUGAUGCAGGAGAAUGGUGUGAACCCGGGAGGCGGAGCUUUGCAGUGAGCCAAGAUCACACCACUGCACUCCAGCCUGGGUGACAGAGCGAGACUCGGUCACAAAGAAAAACAAAACAAAACAAAAAACAAAAACAAAAAAAGAAAACACUGGGAAUUUGAUGUCUGUGGAGCACUGAAAAUGAUAAAAACAAAACACAAACCUAGUUCAACUCAUGACAAGACAGAAUUCCUUACGCUGACUGCUUGACAGAUGAAAAUGUGUGCCCAUUUCUCUGUGUAAUUUUCAUUUACCUUGGUUCCUAGCAUUCUUCUACAAAUAGUUUCUGGCUUUCAACCAAACAUGAGAUACACAAAGAGCCAAGAAGAAAACAACCUGUUUUCAAUAGAUAAAGCAAACAACAUAACUAGACCUAAAGAUGUGUCUGUGAGUCGGGACUAGGAUUAAUACAUACAUUUAAUACAUGUAAUAUUUAUUUAUUUCAUUGUAUGCAAUUUUUACAUAAAAACUAUAGUCUAUAGUCGUGUUGCAGAUUCAAGUUAAUAAUAUGCAAAGUAUUCAAGGGGAAAUGUAUUGAUAUCUUCAAUAUACAUUGAAAUUUAUUCAAAAAGGAAAUGUGUUAAUGGACGAAAGAUCAAUAAAUUAAAAGUGUCUGACAAAACAAUAUAAUAAAAUCUUAAUUAUAGAACCCUGAGGGUAUGUAAAUUCAUUCUUUUUUUAAAAUUUGAAAAUGUUUACAAUAUAAUAUUGGAAAAUAUAAAUUAGAUGGCAUAUAUUUCAGAAAAUCCGUAUUGUGCAUUGUGCAGAAAUAUACUCCAGAAUAAUUAAAGGGUUCAAUUUAGGAGAAUAAACUUAAAAGUGUUAGAAAAAAAUAGAAAACGGUCCUAGUGAUUUCAGUAUCAGAAAGGAUUUAGUAAACAAGACAAAACCUGGACUCAAAAUUUCCAAAGAUAAGAUCUCAAUGUUAUAAAAAUGUGUAAACCCUCCCAUAAUAUAUACUGACAUAAAAUGCCAAAUUGCAGUGCACUGCAUUGUCACAAAAAAGUGAAAAAUAUGAAUAAUGAAAUUAGCAAAUAUUAAAUUUCUUAGCACUCUGUAAUUUCU
rnacentral:lncRNA from 10 species